CGGUCUUUCCUUAAAAUCUGAACUUCUGUUAUGAGCCGUGGAUAAUAUCCAACGGUUGGGAAAGGAAAGGAAAGUGUUGGGGAAAUAUGUACGCGGAGCUCCAUUUCGAACGGGUCUCUCCAUUUCACAAACCGCCUCUUUCUCUCUCUCUUUCACGAAGCCAAAUCGCGUCUCUCUCUCUCUCUUUCACGAAGCCGGAAACUCGCCCUCUCGCGUCUCUGGCUUAAAGCUUCCGGCCGUACGAAGCCGAAAACUCGCCGAACUCGCCGUCUCUCUCUCUGUCUCCCAAGGUAUUUUCUACUUCCCCCAAUAUUUUCUCAAUACUGCUUGGUUCUGUCUCUCUCUUUCACGAAGCCAAAUCGCGGAAUAAAUUGGCCCCAAUAGUUCUACUUAUCUGUUUGAACCAAGGUAUUUUCUAAUUAUCUGUUUGAACCAAAUGAUGAAUGAAAUCUAGAGUAAGGCUGAAAAUCUAGGGUUGAUGUCUCUGCCGUGUAUUUUCUAAUUUUCUAAUUUUCUAAUUAUCUGUUUGAACCUUUUGAAUUCAAAUUGAAUGUUUAAAAAGUUUUGCACUGUUUGGUGGUUUAGGCACAAAGAGAUAGGUUGGGCUGAGGAGUAAUAAGGAGGAUAUAAUGGGUUCAUGAUAUAAACCAAUAGUGGUGAAACUGAUAGCCUAAAAUUGUGCCUACCAACUGUUUGAUAAAAGUUCUAAAAGAACUAUUUUGAUUGAAUUUAUAUAUGUAUCUUUGAAUUUAUACUACUAUUAAUAUAAACCAAUGGUGGCAUAUAGUGAUAUCCAGGGAGUGCUGGGGUUUUGGGUUAAGUUGUGUGAUACAGAAUAAAGGGGCUACAUGACAUAUUUAAUGUAGAGGAUUCCUUGCAACUUUUUAGAGCAUCGUAAGGGUCGAGGAAAUCCAGAUUCAAGAGUUUGUGUAGUUAUAUGGAAAAGUUCUGAGUUGCAUCUUUUUUAAUACCAAGUACAUAGUAUUUUACAUUUACUAGGUUCUUUCCCUCUAAGUGCAUUUGGUGUUUUGACAGUUGAGCAGUAGCAUGGGCUGUGCUAAUUAUUUAUUCCUGGUUAUGUAUUUUGACUGGGAACAAGUGACUUGAUGAGCUUACAGCGUUGAAGAACAACUUGGCCCUUCAAUUUUUCUUGGUCCCCAAGCUUGUCUCUCCUAUAUAAUGUAAUAGAUUAUAACUACGUUUUAGGCUUUCAGCAGAGUACAAUGAAUAAAAAUUCUUUUAAAUAUGUAUGAGACAGCUAGGUGUGAGGCCUAGUCUUCUUCCCCUCUUUCAUGUGUUAUUGUCAUGCAUGUGGAUUACCAACUGUGGAAUGUCUCUAAAACAUUGCAAUCUUAUGGUGGUUUUGGCAGAUAAGGUUCAACAAAGGCAUGUCUACUUCAAGCAACAUGAGCAUUCAAACUCAUGAUACCCGAUUUCGAAACAAGAUGUGUUAUUGUCGCCUGAGAGCUGCUAUGAGAAAAUUUGAAUCAGAGAAGAAUCCUGGACAGCUCUACUAUGACUGUCCAAGGGAGAAGGACAAAGGAAAAUGUAAGUUUUGGGACUAGUGCAAUCCAAUUGGGUAUGGCGAACCCAACUCCGCUGUUGAAGCACACAUACAGCUGUGCAUCAAUGAUGAUGCUCGACUUGGAGUCAUUGAAAUUAAUGUGGCAAAUCUUAAACACAUCGUCAAUAUCAUCGUGUUCUUUUGUGGGCUAUCCUUGGUAGUGUCGGUCAUGGAACUUGUCAAGUGAUUGUAAUGACUGUAACUGUAAUGACUAUAAGGAAAAUGAUUGUAAUGACUGUAAUGACUAUAAGGAAAAUGUAAUGAUUAUGUACUCUGCUACCCUUUUGUAUUAAGAAAGCACUGGAUGAUUGUCUUGUUGAAAAUAUGGAUGUUAAGUACAUUUUUUCACUGGUGAACCACCUUUCAAUUGUUACUGCUACAUUGAUACCUUGUCCUUUUGGUGCAUACCCUAAAAAUGUGAAGCACGAACAGAAACUAGUAUCUUAAAAUGGUGCGUGCAAUUGGAAGAAGACCAACCAAGGCAAUUUGCAGUUGCUCUGAGCUGG
rnacentral:lncRNA from 1 species